rfam:Brachypodium distachyon strain Bd21 chromosome 1, whole genome shotgun sequence.
CAAAUAUUCCCUCCGUCCAGACAUAAGUGACUCAGAUUUGUCUAGAUUCGCAUGUAUCUAUACACUAAAACGCGUAGAUACAUACGAAUCUAGAAAAAUCCGAGUCACUUAUUUCCGGACGGAGGGAGUACAUU